GAGCAUAAGAAACCCUAGAGAGGCAGGAAGUCAGAUGUCCUAUAAGGUUUUACAUGUGUUGUUAAGCUCAACAAGACAAUUUCUGUUGCGAGACCUAAAUGCAGCUUGAUCACGGAGCAUUAAGAAACAUGAUGAUGGUUAUUUGGUUAGCCACCAAUUUCCUUUCUCAUGCUCUCAGUCUCAGAUUACUGAGCUUUCAUCUGGCAUUCUCAGACAUGCUCACUAAUUGUCCUGCAGCAGACAAAUAAAGAGCACGUUUUACAA